GCCUUCAUGGAUCAUGGAGAUCACCUCGACUUCGUAUAAAAAUCCCAGUUGCAACAAUUAUCGAGGAGGCGGAGGUUCGAUUCCUCUUGGAGGCG